rnacentral:rRNA from 1 species
UACGUAGGGGGCAAGCGUUGUCCGGAUUUAUUGGGCGUAAAGAGCGUGUAGGCGGCUUUACAGGUCCGUUGUGAAAACUCGAGGCUCAACCUCGAGACGCCGAUGGAAACCAUCUGGCUAGAGUCCGGAAGAGGAGAGUGGAAUUCCUGGUGUAGCGGUGAAAUGCGCAGAUAUCAGGAAGAACACCCGUGGCUAAGGCGGCUCUCUAGUACGGUACUGACGCUGAGACGCGAAAGCGUGGGGAGCGAACAGG